AUUGAACGCUGGCGGCAUGCCUUACACAUGCAAGUCGAACGGCAGCGGGCCUUCGGGUGCCGGCGAGUGGCGAACGGGUGAGUAAUGCAUCGGAACGUGCCAUUGAGUGGGGGAUAACGUAGCGAAAGUUGCGCUAAUACCGCAUAUUCUGUGAGCAGGAAAGCAGGGGACCGCAAGGCCUUGCGCUCUUUGAGCGGCCGAUGUCAGAUUAGCUAGUUGGUGAGGUAAAGGCUUACCAAGGCGACGAUCUGUAGCGGGUCUGAGAGGAUGAUCCACCACACUGGAACUGAGACACGGUCCGGACUCCUACGGGAGGCAGCAGUGGGGAAUUUUGGACAAUGGGGGCAACCCUGAUCCAGCCAUGCCGCGUGAGUGAAGAAGG
rnacentral:rRNA from 1 species